GGAGGGUUGGCCGAGCGGACGAAGGCGGCGGAUUUGAAAUCCGCUGGGGGCGUAAGCCCCUCUGGGGUUCGAAUCCCUCACCCUCCG
rnacentral:tRNA from 1 species